rnacentral:rRNA from 1 species
ACGGAAGGCAGCAGUGGGGAAUAUUGCACAAUGGGGGAAACCCUGAUGCAGCGACGCCGCGUGAAGGAAGAAGUAUCUCGGUAUGUAAACUUCUAUCAGCAGGGAAGAAAAUGACGGUACCUGACUAAGAAGCCCCGGCUAACUACGUGCCAGCAGCCGCGGUAAUACGUAGGGGGCAAGCGUUAUCCGGAUUUACUGGGUGUAAAGGGAGCGUAGACGGAAUUGCAAGUCUGAUGUGAAAGGCAUGGGCUCAACCUGUGGACUGCAUUGGAAACUGUGAUUCUUGAGUGCCGGAGGGGUAAGCGGAAUUCCUGGUGUAGCGGUGAAAUGCGUAGAUAUCAGGAGGAACACCGGUGGCGAAGGCGGCUUACUGGGCGGCAACUGACGUUGAGGCUCGAAGGCGUGGGGAGCAAACAGGAUUAGAUACCCUGGUA